rnacentral:rRNA from 1 species
CAAAGGUGAGCCAGUACAGGAUGGACCCGCGUCUGAUUAGCUAGUUGGUAAGGUAACGGCUUACCAAGGCGACGAUCAGUAGCCGACCUGAGAGGGUGAUCGGCCACAUUGGAACUGAGACACGGUCCAAACUCCUACGGGAGGCAGCAGUGGGGAAUAUUGCACAAUGGGCGAAGGCCUGAUGCGGCAACGCCGCGUGAGUGAUGAAGGCCUUCGGGUCGUAAAACUCUGUCCUCAAGGAAGAUAAUGACGGUACUUGAGGAGGAAGCCCCGGCUAACUACGUGCCAGCAGCCGCGGUAAUACGUAGGGAGCUAGCGUUAUCCGGAUUUACUGGGCGUAAAGGGUGCGUAGGCGGUCUUUCAAGUCAGGAGUGAAAGGCUACGGCUCAACCGUAGUAAGCUCUUGAAACUGGGAGACUUGAGUGCAGGAGAGGAGAGUGGAAUUCCUAGUGUAGCGGUGAAAUGCGUAGAUAUUAGGAGGAACACCAGUUGCGAAGGCGGCUCUCUGGACUGUAACUGACGCUGAGGCACGAAAGCGUGGGGAGCAAACAGGAUUAGAUACCCUGGUAGUCCACGCUGUAAACGAUGAGUACUAGGUGUCGGGGGUUACCCC